UAGGGAAUAUUGGUAAUGUGCGAAAGCGCGAACCAGCAACGCCGCGUGCACGAUGAAGGCCUUCGGGUUGUAAAGUGCUUUUAGAGAGGAUGAGGAAGGACAGUACUUUCUGAAUAAGCCUCGGCUAACUACGUGCCAGCAGCCGCGGUAAAACGUAGGAGGCUAGCGUUAUCCGGAUUUACUGGGCGUAAAGCGCGUGCAGGUGGUUUCGUAAGUUGGAUGUGAAAGCUCCUGGCUUAACUGGGAGAGGUCGUUCAAAACUGCGAGGCUUGAGAGUGGUAGAGGGGGGUGGAAUUCCGGGUGUAGUGGUGAAAUGCGUAGAUAUCCGGAGGAACACCAGUGGCGAAGGCGGCCUCCUGGACCAUUUCUGACACUCAGACGCGAAAGCUAAGGUAGCAAACG
rnacentral:rRNA from 1 species